rnacentral:rRNA from 1 species
UACGUAGGGGGCAAGCGUUGUCCGGAAUCAUUGGGCGUAAAGCGCGCGUAGGCGGCCAGAUAAGUCCGGUGUGAAAGUCACAGGCUCAACCUGUGAAUGCCGCUGGAAACUGUCUGGCUUGAGUCCGGAAGGGGCGAGUGGAAUUCCUGGUGUAGCGGUGAAAUGCGCAGAUAUCGGGAGGAACACCAAUGGCGAAGGCAGCUCGCUGGGACGUUACUGACGCUGAGACGCGAAAGCGUGGGGAGCAAACAGGG